AUAGUGAAAUAAUAGUGCAUUUAUAAUGAGUACUUUUGCUAACAUUAUUGCUCUUAGCCAUCAAAUUCAAUUUACCAUUUUCCAAAAAUGUUGUAACAUAAAAUGGUAAAUGCCUACCAGCACUUGUAGUGGUCUCACAUUUGAUAGCAAGCCCAGCAGAUUACAAAGAUUGAACAUCCCCAAAAAAUCUUCCUGCCCUCAAUACCCUGCCUCAUAAACAUUCCGAAGAAAGCUGGAAAUUGCUCCUUAGCAUAAGCUAACUUUCCAAACAAUCCCAUCAUUUAAAAAUUUUAUGUGAUGUGUUAACAUUCCAGUAGUUGCCUUACCUUUUCAACUAAUAAGUUCUAUGUUAAAGGUAUUCAUUCAAGAGAAAAAAGCUUAAGUCAAAAAAAACAGACAGUGCAAAAAAUGCAUGAGUGCUGUAAGAGUUUAAUUGUAAGACAAAAGCACUGCUACAUUAUACUUUAAACAUAAGUCAUCUUUCAGAAGGAAGGAUUCAGUGCAAAUUAAAACCCUAUGAAAGCCCAACUGUAAAUUUCAUAUGAAGACUCUAGAAGUAAACUUCUAGAACUGGAAACACUUGGUUCCAACAGAAUUUGCUUGGGGAGAAUAUGUCUUGAAAAUGUUAAAUGGUACAGAGAACAUCAUGUUUAAGUCAACCAGAUACUAAAAAAAAGACAUGCUGAUAGGUCUUAAUACAUAAAACUAAUUGAUUAGCAGUAGCAUGCUUUAUAUAUCAAUGAUUAUAAAAGCAAUUUACAAUAAAUUUGAGCAUUUCUAAGUUUUAUUUACUGCCUUAGCCAAUCUCUUAACUAUACUGUAAUAAAAUGCCAUUCUUCCAAUUUUUAUUUUAUAAUAAAAAGGUUUUCACUUCAUCAGUCUCAGACUGGUGUUUUAUAUAAAUGUUAAGCUCUGUAUAAUCCAAAGCCAUCCAUACAACAAAAAAGAAAUUAUGUAAUUCCUUUUCUCAAGUGUUUAUUCAAAGCAUAGCUUCCAUGCCAUGUUAAAUGUCACGUUUAGGUACUGGCAUUAACAGACCUCUUAAGUUUCUUCCAAUUCUUUUUUUCCUGAGAAAUACAAAAGUCAGGAAAGUAACCUUCCUAAUUCUAGAGUGCAAACAGAGUACAGCCUCUUAUAACAAAAUUAAAUUUAUACAAAUUAACCUUGAAGUACUCUCUUCCCAAUACCAAAUGACUUAAAGUUUCCCAAAAUAGAUUCCAAUAACCUCUAUUAUCACUGUUUAAUAAAUUAAUGCCUAUCUCUAAUUUCUUUGAAGACUUUUAAAGAAUUUCUCCCUUAACAACUAAAAUAACAGAUUUGGAUUGCUAUUACAAGAACACCAUGCUCCUACUUAGGCUCUAAAUCCUAUAAAGCAUUUCAGACUUUAAUACAAUAAUUUUGUAAGGUCCUUUCUCCUUGCCCUUGGGAGAACACCUGCCCCCUACCCCCCACCCCCCGCUCCAAUUCCCUGCCUUUACAGGGCUUACUGGGGGAAAUUUAUUAACAUUUAGGAACUACCCUACUGCUUCAACUUCCUAUAUUAUAUAGUCAGUCCCCUGGAGACUAUUCUUUAUCUCAGCUACUCUAUACUACUGCCAUUUACAUGGAAGGCUGCUGGAAUUAUGCAACCUUCUUGAGAAUCGAAAAGGCGCUAAGGACAAUAGGGCAAUAUAUAACCAGCCCAAUUAGAGAAAAUAGCAAGUCAAUUUCUAUCAGAGUUGUUGAUUACCAAUUCAUAAUAAUGCAAUGGAUGGCUAAGAUCAGGGCAGAGGCAAGAUACAGACAAUAAGGGGAGUGUAUUGGCUGUAGAGAAUUUUAAAACAAUACCAAGCAACUCACCAUGUUCCCAGCCUGUAGCCACCCCCACCACCUACUUUCCCUGACUUGGUACAUUACUGUUGUUCACUGUCAUCUUGUACUCAUUAGAAUGUUAAAAAUCAUAUCAUUUUUUUUUUCAAGGUAGACUUAGGGUCCACAACUAAAAUGCUGGUUUAGUAAAACAUAUACCUUUGUUUUUACAGAAGAUGUAAAAACAAACCCUUAGGAAACAGUGUGUUUAACUCUAUCUUAAAGAGUUAACACAUUAAAGUCCUUAACACAUUAGUAUGCAAUUAAGAUCACUUGGAGGCCAGGGGCGGUGACUCACGCCUGUAAUCCCAGCACACAGGGAGGCCGAGGCAGGCGGAUCACCUGAGGUCAGGAGUUCAAGACCAGCCUGGCCAACAUGGUGAAACCCUGUCUCUACUAAAAAUACAAAAAUUAGCCAGGCAUGGUGGUAGGAGCCUGUAAUCCCAACUACUUGGGAGGCUGAGGCAGGAGAAUCACUUGAACCCGGGAGGCAGAGAUUGCAGUGAGCUGAGAUCGUGCCACUGCACUCCAGUGUGGGCAACAGAGUGAGACUCCGUCUCAAAAAAAAAAAAAAAAAAAAAAAAAAUCACAUGGUGUAUGUGAAAUACAGAAUCCCAGGCAACACUCCCAAACAAUUCUAAGUGAUUCUGAUAUAGAUGCCUACAAGCCUCUUUGAAAUGCCAACCAGCUUAUAAUCAACCCUUACCCAAUUUACCAGAUUAAAAGCAACUGUUACCAACUAACAGGACAAGCGGACUCCAUUUGCACAACUGAAUAUUUAUCUUGCUAGAAUCAUUUUACCCAUGGAAAUUUUCAGGCGACUCCUAACUAUGCCUAGUAACAGUUUGAAUAUGGCUAGUAUUAAAGAAAGGAUAUACCCUUCUCAACCCUAUCAAAAGUAGGUAUCUUAGGCUGGGCACAGUGGCUCACGCCUGUAAUCCCAGCACUUCAGGAGGCCGAGGCAGGCAGAUCACUUGAGCACAGGAGUUGGAGACCAGCCUGAGCAACACAGUAAGACCCCAUCUCUACAAAAAAUUUCAAAAAUUAGGCCGGGUGCAAUUGCUCACACCUGUAAUCCCAGCACUUUGGGAGGCUGAGGUGGACGGAUCACCUGAGCUCAGGAGUUUGAGACCAGGCUGGUCAUAUGGUGAAACCCCGUCUCUACUAAAAAUACAAAAGUUAGCCAGGUGUGGUGGUGUGUACCUGUAAUCCCAGCUACUCGGGAGGCUGCGGGAGAAUAGCUUGAACCUGGGAGGCAAAGGUUGCAGUAAGCCAAAAUUGCGCCACUGCACUCCAGCCUGAGAGACAGAGCCGAGACUCCGUCUCAAAAAAUAAAAAUGAAAAAAAAAAAUAAAUAAACUGGGCCGGGCGAGGUGGCUCACACAAUCCCAGCACUUUGGGAGAUUGAGGCGGGCAGAUCACCAGGUCAGGAGUUCAAGAUCAGCCUGACCAAUCCAGUGAAACCCCGUCUCUACUAAAAAUACAAAAAUCAGCCGGAUGUGGUGGCGUGCACCUGUAGUCCCAGCUACUCAGGAGGCUGAGGCAGGAGAAUCACUUGAACCCGGGAGGCGGAGGUUUUGAUGAGCCAAGAUCACACCACUGCACUCCAGCCUGGACAAUAAAGUGAGAUUCAGUCUCAAAAAAAAAAAAGAAAAAAAAAGUAUAUAUAUAUAUAUAUAUAUAUAUAAGCUGGAUGUGGUGGUGCUUGCCUGCAGUCCCAGCAACUCAGGAGGCUGAGGUGAGAGGAUCGCUUGAGCCCAGGUUGAGGCUGAGGUGAGCUGUGAUCACAUCACUGCAUUCCAGCUUGGGCGACAGAGCAAGACCCUUUCUCCACCCCCCCCCCCACCAAAAAAAAAAAGGAAAGGUAGCUUUCAAAAAAAAUCAAAUUUUAUGAUAGUUUAGGGUCAUCCUUAAAUGUUAGUUCAUUGAUAAACUGCACUAUUAAGAAACUGCUUCCAAAUAAAUUUAUUGAGAUGUGAUGCUAUAUUAUGGAUCUAGGUUUUGACAUUUCAGGUUAAACUCACUCCAAACAAAAUAAACUCAGACAUUUCAGGAUCAACACAAAUACUGUGAUAGAAAGAUUGUAUCUUUCCAGUUUCCAAAAUUCCUAAUACCUCAAAGGCCCUAAACAUACGUUUAAAGUACUAGUCUUAAUUACAAAAAGAAACUUUCCCAAGCACUAAAAUAGUAAAAGCAGAGACUAAAUUAGUUUCUCAUGUAUACAACAGACAGGCUUAAUAACUGGAUUCUAAUGAGACUACCUUUCAAAACUGUCAGCAUGAACUGGCACCUGGACAGGUGUUCCACACCCACACUGUAUUCUCAACUGUGCACAACCAAGUACAAAGAAGCAAAUACUAUCCCAGGAUGUAAAGAGUAUUAUGCUUACAUGACUUGCAACCCUAUACACAUCGAAGGUUAGGAAAGAAACAGACAAAAAAGGAAACCCAGGACCCAAGGAAGAGAAAUUAACUCACCUGGUAGCAGACACCUACUAAACCAAAAGGUAUCAAAAUCUGAUUCAGAACAACAGACCUAGAAAGCUCAUUACUUGAGAAAAAGUGGGAUUCCAACCAGAGUCUACAAAACCGUUUUGAGAAUUGAGAUCAAAGCUACACUAAAAACGAGUUAUCUAAAAAAACUGGGGAAUGGGGGGGAUAAUAUUUCAGGAGUUCGAGACCAGCCUGGCCAACAUGGUGAAACCCCAUCUCUACUAAAAAUACAAAAAUUAGCCAGGCCUGGUGGCGCAUCCCUCUAGUCCCAGCUACUUGGGAAGCUGAGGCAGGAGAAUCGCUUGAACCCAGGAGGUGGGGGUUGCAGGGAGCCAAGACCGUGCCACUGCCCUCUAGUCUGGGCAACAGAGUGAGGCUCUGUCUCAAAAAAAAAAAAAAAAAAAAAAAAAAAAAAAAAAAGAAAGAAGGAAGGAAAAAAACAAUAUUCUGCCAGCUGUCAGCAGUGUGGAUAUCACAGAUUACACCACAGAACACCCUGACUCCCCGCAAAGAUUUAGGAAUUGGCAGUCCAAAUACCUGUAGAAACAUAGAUGAAACAGGUCAAAAGAUCGAUUCAAAGUCGCUUAACAAUUAGUUAAACCUCCAGAUCCUCUAUACUGCUGGCAAUUGACUCCUGAACCCUGGCAGAAAACUGGAGAUGUACUCUCUUAAGCAAGUUAGAAAAGAGCUGUUGGACUGAAUAGGCACAGUGAUGAAAAUAAACAGUUUACUUUUUGAGAUCCCUCAACUUCUUUUUCCACUGGGAUCAGAAACUGACCACCUUUUCUUAUCCUUUAGGGAGGAGAGUAAGACACCUCUGGUAAGCAUGACCAGCUUCAGAAAACAAAACAAGGAAAUGUAUCAAGUGAUUUCUCAAUAAAAUGACACAGCCAUACCACCCAACAGUGAAGCCAGUGAUUGAAAAGCACCCUGCCAGACCCACACACAUAACAUUCAAUUAGCAUUUAAAAUGUUCCACUCCUAAAUAUGACCCAAGGAUCACCAAACACCUGAAGAAAUUUUCUAACAUGAAAACCAGAAGCCAAAGCAACAGGAAAACAAAGCAUCUUGGAAACAAACUUUUAAACAGGUUAUCAUUAAUAACCUUAGAGAUAAGAAAAAGGUAUGUUGAUAUUUAUUUAUAACAGAUGAGGGGGUGGUCUUAGAAACUGACACAAUUGGCCAGGCGCGGUGGCUCCCGCCUGUAAUCCCUGCACUUUGGGAGGCUGAGGCGGACAGACCACCUGAGGUCAGGAGGUGGAGACCAGCCUGGCCAAGAUGGUGAAACCUGUCUCUACUAAAAAUACAAAAAUAAGCCGGGCAUGGUGGUGUGUACCUGUAGUCCCAGCUACCUGGGAGGCUGAGGCAGGAGAAUCGCUUGAACCCAGGAGGCAGAGGUUGCAGCGAGCCGAGAUAGUGCCACUGCACUCCAGCCUGGGCGACGAGAGAACUCCACCCCACACACACACCCACACCCAAAAAAGAAACUAACACAACUUAAAUUUUGGGAUGUUUUUAAAAGUUGACAAUUAGGCAAGGUGCAGUGGCACAUGCCUGUAACUCCAGCACUUUGGGAAGCCAAGAGUUCAAGACCAGCCUGGGAAACAUAGCAAGACCUGGUAUCUACAAAAAUUGAGAAAGAUUAAAUUAACAGAAACACAUGUCCAGGGCUUAUACCCAAACAAGAAUUCCAGAGAACAAAGAUCGAGAUGGUAGAUGGGGAAAGAAGAAUCAGUUCAGUAAUAUUUCCCGUAUCUGAAGAGCAAGUUUAUACAAUGACAAGAUUCAGUGAGUGACCAGUACAAUGUAUUAAAUAAACCCAAGAUACAGUUGUGAACCAUAAGAACAAUGGUAAAAUUCCAAGUGAUUUCAGCGUUAAGAAAGAUUCCAUAUGUAAGACCAAGAUUUAAAAUAAAUUUCUGGGUCAAAGAACAGUGUAGCACACACCUGUAAUCCCAGCACUUUGGGAGGCCAAGUCAGGUGGAUCACCUGAGGUCAGGAGUUCAGGACCAGCCUAACAUGGUGAAACCCCAUUAUCUACUAAAAAAAAAAAAAAAAAAAUUAGCCGAGCCUGGUGGCACACACCUGUAAUCCCAGCUGCUCAGGCGGCUGAGGCAGAAGAAUUGCUUGAAUCUAGGAGGCGGAGGUUGCCGUGAGCCGAUAUGCCACUGCACUACAGCCUGGGCAACAAAAGCAAAACUCCGUCUCAAAAAUAAAAAAAAUAAAUAAAUUUCUGGCCAGGCAUGGUGGCUCACACCUGUAAUCCCAGCACUUUGGGAGGCCGAGGCGGACGGAUCACAGCAUCAAGAGAUUGAGACCAUCCUGGCCAACAUGGUGAAACUCCGUCUCUACUAAAAAUACAAAAACUAGCUGGGCAUGGUGGCACAGGCCUGUAGUCCCAGCUGCUAAGGAGGCUGAGGCAGGAGAAUCGCUUGAACCCACGAGGCAGAGGUUGCAGUGAGCUGAGAUCGCACCACUGCACUCCAGCCUGGCAACAGAGUGAGAUGCUGUCUCAAAAACAAAUAAAAUAAAUUUCUUCACCAAACCUGAAUUCUCUACAUAGCUAAACUUAGUAAUCCAAUGCAAAAUAGAACUUUACAGACAGGAAGGUCUCUAACCUAUUGGAAGAUAUCCUACACCAAACCAACAAAGCCAUAGAUCUAGGAAACAGAUCAUAAAUUGAGAGGCAAAGGGAAACCCAGAACAAUGGCAAAGCCCCAACUCAACAGUUACUCAACAAUUCAAAAAGGGCAAACAGUUCAGAUUAGAACACAGAAAACCAUCAAGAAAAACAUGAAACUAAUUACCAAAUUAAUGUAUAUAAAAAAUCUUUUUUCAAUUCUUGUUACCGUUUGAAAAUCAGUGUCUGCUGGACAGAAAAUUAUCUAGGCCAAGAGGUACUGCUAGAAACGGCUCUGAGAAUUGCAAUUUAAAUGAGUCAGACAUACAGAAACAAAACAGUACAAAAAUCGGGUUACAAGUUUUUUUCAAGAAUGGGUUUGAUCUCCAAAAUUAAUCCUUAAAAUUAAAUCUAAGUAGUGUCUCUCAUUUAGUACUAAUUAACUGCCAAAAGUGCAGCUUGUAAACAUUUUAACACAACAAUCAAAAUUAAUCUGGUAGCAUGUUUUUAGUCACACUAAACCUGGUUUUAAUUCAAUCUGUUUUUACCCCCUCCCCGCACAUUUAUAAAGUUUUUGAUGUGAAGGCCGAACACGGUGGUUUAUGCCUAUAAUCCCAGCACUUUGGGAGGCCGAAGGAGGAGGAGGAUUGCUUGAGGCCAAGAGUUCAAGACCAGCCUGGGGAACAUAGCAAGACCCUGUCUCUACAAACAAUAAAAAUAUUAGUUGGGCACAGUGGUAUGCGCCUGUAGUCCCAAUCACUGAGGAGGCUAAUGAGGAGCACUUGAGCCCAGGAGUUGGAGGCUGCAGUGAGCCACUGUACUCUAGCAUGAACGACAGAGGGAGACCCUGUCUCUUAAAAAUAAUUUUUUAUUGAGAGAUUUACAUAAAAUAAGCAUAUGAUACCAAAAAGAACCCUAGCUUAACAACCCUAACACAAAAAAUUU
rnacentral:lncRNA from 10 species